rnacentral:rRNA from 1 species
UACGUAGGGUGCAAGCGUUAAUCGGAAUUACUGGGCGUAAAGCGUGCGCAGGCGGCUUUGCAAGACAGAUGUGAAAUCCCCGGGCUUAACCUGGGAACUGCAUUUGUGACUGCAUGGCUGGAGUGUGGCAGAGGGGGAUGGAAUUCCGCGUGUAGCAGUGAAAUGCGUAGAGAUGCGGAGGAACACCGAUGGCGAAGGCAGCCCCCUGGGCCAACACUGACGCUCAGGCACGAAAGCGUGGGGAGCAAACAGG